UACGUAGGGGGCUAGCGUUGUCCGGAUUUAUUGGGCGUAAAGAGCGUGUAGGCGGCCAGGUAGGUCUGCUGUGAAAACUCGAGGCUUAACCUCGAGAUGUCGGCGGAAACCAUCUGGCUAGAGUCCGGAAGAGGAGAGCGGAAUUCCUGGUGUAGCGGUGGAAUGCGCAGAUAUCAGGAAGAACACCCGUGGCGAAGGCGGCUCUCUGGGACGGUACUGACGCUGAGACGCGAAAGCGUGGGGAGCGAACAGG
rnacentral:rRNA from 1 species